rnacentral:piRNA from 1 species
UUGCAAUUAGAGCCCAUUCCCACGGUGGUGU